GCUGAGCAGAGAGGUGGCGUGGAGGUGUUGGCAUUUGGGAGAAAGGGAAAGAGGUGUGCUUGUUUGCAAAAGCAGCCCAAAGUAAGAUAAUAGAUUGAUAAAGUUACUGCCGGCCAGCAGUAGGACUCACAAGGAGUAGAAACUGGAGGAAUAAAAGGAGGAAGUGUCAUAGAAGUGGGGAGAAGUGGAGGAGCACGCAAAUCUCUAGGCCACACAACUGUGUUCCUUCAAGAAGAGAUAUUUUUUUUU